CCUACGGGAGGCAGCAGUGAGGAAUAUUGGUCAAUGGGCUUACGCCUGAACCAGCCAAGUCGCGUGAGGGAAGACUGCCCUAUGGGUUGUAAACCUCUUUUGUCAGGGAGCAAUUGGCGCUACGUGUAGCGUUAUCGAGAGUACCUGAAGAAAAAGCAUCGGCUAACUCCGUGCCAGCAGCCGCGGUCAUACGGAGGAUGCGAGCGUUAUCCGGAUUGAUUGGGUUUAAAGGGUGCGUAGGCGGAAUGCCAAGUCAGCGGUAAAAUCGCGGGGCUCAACCUCGCUCCGCCGUUGAAACUGGCGUUCUUGAGUGGGCGAGAAGUAUGCGGAAUGCGUGGUGUAGCGGUGAAAUGCAUAGAUAUCACGCAGAACUCCGAUUGCGAAGGCAGCAUACCGGCGCCCAACUGACGCUGAAGCACGAAAGCGUGGGUAUCGAACAGGAUUAGAUACCCUUGUAGUC
rnacentral:rRNA from 1 species